rnacentral:rRNA from 1 species
UACGUAGGGGGCAAGCGUUGUCCGGAUUUAUUGGGCGUAAAGAGCGUGUAGGCGGCCAUACAGGUCAGCUGUGAAAACUCGAGGCUCAACCUCGAGACGUCGGUUGAAACCGUAUGGCUAGAGUCCAGAAGAGGAGAGUGGAAUUCCCGGUGUAGCGGUGAAAUGCGCAGAUAUCGGGAAGAACACCCGUGGCGAAGGCGGCUCUCUGGGACGGUACUGACGCUGAGGAGCGAAAGCGUGGGGAGCGAACAGG